AUGACCCCUCCAUGUGGUUUAGGGAAAGCUUUUAAAUAAAUUAUUCAGAUCUUUGAAAUGCUUGUCCUUUUCUUUACCUUAGCUUUUGUUCUACUCACAUGGAGCAGGCCUAUGAAAAAAGCAUUUUACAUUGCAAAAGUAAACAUACAAGAAUAACUGUUCGUUUCUGAACAUCACAUGCCAAAGAGAAGUGGCCAGCAACAUCGUUCAUGCACGUAUAUAUAAAUUACAUCCUCAAAGAGGCUUCAGGGAAACAAAAGAAACACCAGGAGGGAACAGAUACAUCAUCAUCACCAUCACCUUGUAUUACCUUCAAAGUGUGUGACAUCAUCAUCGUGUUAUUUGGUACAACCAUUAAUUAAGACAUUGAAGUCACAGAAGAAAUGACAGAGUAGAAAUUUGAAAGCAAUGAAGAAGCUUAAUGUUAGAGUUAACGGGGACAAAGAUUUGUAAUCCUGAUCAGCACGACGUUAUUACCCACCCAAAAUUUACGAGGAUGAUAAAAAUAAACGAAAAUCAUUACGCAAUCUAUUCUUUAAUCCAUGUUCUUAAAGGUACUCUAAACUUGGCUUUAAUAUAUAGUUAGUGUAGUGAUAAAGCAGAAUGUGAUGGGUACUUAUUUUAAGUAACGACAAUUGAUUUGAGGCACCGUUGUAUGCCACAAACUAAGCACUAAUUAUUUGAUGCUUUGAGGAUG